rnacentral:rRNA from 1 species
AACGGCGAGUGAAGCGGCAAAAGCUCAAAUUUGAAAUCUGGCUCCUUUGGGGCCCGAGUUGUAAUUUGCAGAGGAUGCUUCGGGCGUGGCCGCGGUCUAAGUCCCCUGGAACGGGGCGUCGCAGAGGGUGAGAAUCCCGUCUUCGGCCGGCCGGCUUCGCCCAUGUGAAGCUCCUUCGACGAGUCGAGUUGUUUGGGAAUGCAGCUCUAAAUGGGUGGUAAAUUUCAUCUAAAGCUAAAUAUUGGUCGGAGACCGAUAGCGCACAAGUAGAGUGAUCGAAAGAUGAAAAGCACUUUGAAAAGAGAGUUAAACAGCAUGUGAAAUUGUUGAAAGGGAAGCGCUUGCGACCAGAGUCGGCCGUGGGGGUUCAGCGGGCAUUCGUUGCCCGUGCACUCCCCCACGGGCGGGCCAGCGUCGGUUUCGACGGCCGGUCAAAGGCCCCCGGAAUGUGUCGCCUCUCGGGGCGUCUUAUAGCCGGGGGUGCAAUGCGGCCAGUCGGGACCGAGGAACGCGCUUCGGCACGGACGCUGGCUUAAUGGUCGUAAGCGACCCGUCUUGAAACACGGACC